CCAACAGUGACUUUCUACGCCUGCUUGCGCACGUAAGCGAAGCAUCGAAUCUGUCUGAAGAGAUGUCACUAAAGCUGGAUUCAUUUCAUACUUGAAUCAAUUUACCAUGCGUGUAACUGCAUGCCAUCAAAGCCCAGAAGUCGCAACGUUUCACGCCUCACGGUAGCCCACAUACAAUAGCUGAGCCCAUGCAGUAGAGGAAGACAAGAUCCGAGCGAUCCACAUGACUCGGCGCGUGAAAGUUGUGAACGACUCCUCUCAGCGUAUUCGGUGACAAUCCUGGACGCCCAGCAUGCGGCCUACUGUGGGAUACGAAACAAGCGAUCUGAGCCGGUGGCCGGGCGACCUCCCGCCUGGUUUGCCUCAACUUGCGACUGCCCUCUAGGCGGACUGUACGCCCAGCUGACCAGAUGGCGCGCUGCUCGCUGCAGAUGGCGCGCCACGACGACACUUGGCUGACAUGGGCAGCUCGCUGGUCAGCUGAGCCACAGCAAGAAUGCGCGGCAGUCGUCCCUCUUGUGUGAAGCUGGACCACUAUUUCCAGCCCGUGUGUGCAGCCAAAUAAUGCAAUGGUCCACUCAGCACAUGGUACGCUGUUCCCUCGCUGGUUCGGCUAUCAGUGGCCUUUCCGGUGAACUACGACAAAAUGGAUCCUGGCCGUUAUUGAGGCAUAUUCUGCUCACAGCCCCUUGAAACAUCAAGCCUUACGCAUCCAAUCCAGUUUGGCCGGAGGCUGGCCCGAACCUGUGGUUUUCAUCUCUACGGUCUGGUACGCCCAGGCGCGACACUGGUUGAAGAUAUCGAAACCGGAACA